ensembl:antisense Gm10435 predicted gene 10435
GAUCUGGGGAGUGGCCAGCAGUGUACUUGGUCUCCACUGAGGGGUGAGCUCGGAAGAGGUGAUGGGGCAGGGUCUGCUUACCUGAGGUAGGAGAUGACGCCCAUGGCCCUGCAAGAAUGAAAACACCCCAUUUGUGAGUUACACCAGGCCUGUCCCACAGGCAAGGGGUAUGCACGGGGGGUGGGGUUGGGGGGUGGGGGUGGCUGGAAGAGGAGGCAGAGGCUCCUCAGCUGCCAGACAGACACACGAAGGACAGGGAGGCUCCAGAUCAACAGCCCUCUAGGUGGGCCAUCCACUCACCAGAUGUCUGAGCCCUCGCUCACAGGAUUCUGCUCAAUGAUCUCUGGGGACACGAAUUCGGGUGAGCCAUACUUGCUGUACUGUGGCUCUGAAGGGGUGAUCUUUUGGGCAAAGCCAAAGUCACAGAUCUUGAUGUCUUCCCGAGCUGGGUGCACCAUCAGGAUGUUGGGGGGCUGUCAAACAGAGUUGAGAAGUUGUUCAAGGCUACACUUCAUGAAAAAGGUAACUCCUACCCUCUGGGCCUAGGAGAGCACUGAAGAGUCCUUGAGGCUAGUAAAGGGCAGUGGGGAGUCCCCAGGACCGAGAGGGGAAUCACAUCUACUCCAUGAGAGCCAAACCCUACCCGAGAUAGUAGAAACCAAGCACAGGCUGGCUCCCAGCUGUGCCCACCACGAGUUCUGGGGGUGCCGUGAAUGCAAUACCUUUAUGUCCAGGUGGAGGAUACCAUGGCUGUGCAAAUAGUGUAGGCCUUCCACCAGCUGCUGGAUAUAGACUUUGACCUGUGGAAAAUGCCAGGAUCAGUUUGGAACCAGCCCCCAAGAGGCUGGCUCAGGAACCUCCUGAAGGCUGACCCAGGUGAGGAGCCAGCCUCAGGUACCUCCUGAAGACCUGGUCCAAAUGAGGGGCCAGCCUCAGAAAACUCAUGAAGGCCUGACCCAGGUGAGGGGCAAGCAUCAGGUACCUCCUGAAGGCCUGACCCGGGUUGGGGGCCAGCCUCAGGUACCUCCUGAAGGCCUGNNNNNNNNNNNNNNNNNNNNNNNNNNNNNNNNNNNNGUACCUCUUGAAGGCCUGGCCCAGGUGAGGGGCCAGCCUCAGGUACCUCCUGAAAGCCUGACCCGGGUGAGGAGCCAGCCUCAGGUACCUCCUGAAGGCCUGACCCAGGUAAGGGGCCAGCCUCAGAUACCUCCUGAAGGCCUAGUCCAAAUGAGGGUCCAGCCUCAGGAACCUCCUGAAGGCCUGACCCAGGUGAGGGGCCAGCCUCAGGAACCUCCUGAAGGCCUGGCCCAGAUGAGGGACCAGCAUCAGGUACCUCCUGAAGACCUGACCCAGGUGAGGGGCCAGCCUCAGGUACCUCCUGAAGGCCUGGCCCUGGUGAGGAGCCAGCCUCAGGUACCUCCUGAAAGCCUGACCCGGGUGAGGGACUAGCCUCAGGUACCUCCUGAAGACCUGGCCCAGGUGAGGGGCCAGCCUCAGCCUCCUCUAUUCCAUAGGAGCUUGCUUCGAUCAUCAAGCCUUCCUCCUCUUAAUUCAGGCCCCAUAGAUCAAGUGACUGACAAAGUCACAGGUCAGGAACUGCAAGCCCCAGGGCUGGGUGUUUCCCAAAGGUGGGCUGAGCCUAAAUAGGCAGGAAGCAUCAGUCUGCUUAAAUGAGGGAGGGGCAGAUAUCACUAGUACAGCUGUUCCCCUAUGGUCAGGACGGGUGGCAGAGGCUGGUUAUACCUGGCUACCUUGGAAGCUACAAGAGACUCAAGUCAAAAGAGGCUGUGUCCAGGGACUGGAAUGUAGGCUCUGACUCUAGGGACACACUCAGGCAAGGAGAAGGUAGAGAUUACCUCGGCUUCAGUCACUACACCCUUCUUGAAGAGCCGAUCCAGCAGCUCCUCAGACGAGCACCUGGGUUUCGUUAAGGAAAAGCUGCACAUGACUCCCCGGGGCCUGUGCUCCCAGAAAGGUACCCAGACCUCCUGUGAGCCAGAUCUAGAGGUGCUGGUAUUCUGAUGAAGGAGAGUGGAAUGAUGACCCUUGGGUCCCAGAUGGGUCACAUCCCUGAGAAAGGGACCUUCAGAAAGACCCUCUGGUGAGUGGGGCUGUGAGCAGCAGCCUAAUGGAACUUGGACACUCUUGCAUCUCUGCACAGAGCCCACUCCACGCAGCCCUUCACCGGGAUCCUAGGACAGUUUCAGGAGUGAAAGGGCAGCCAGAAUGUGAAAUAAGUAAGAGCCCCAAACACGCCCCCAUGGGUGUGACGGAGGCCAAGAGCAGUUGGAAUGGGAGCCCCCUCUCCAAUACCUAAGAGGUCACCUCUGAGAGGGGUCCCAGGCUGUGACCCACAUCUGUGACCCACAUCUGUGACCC